UGGAUAUGAAAAUCACAACGGUUGUUAAGAUGUCGAGAGCAGAGUUUAUAUCUGCAUGUUUUCCAACUAGUUGGACUUGUAAACCCAACCGGUUGGGGUAUGCUGUCAUGUGCGCGUAAGUCAGCCUUUUAAACCAAGUGCUUCGGCCAUUUGAACACACCCACGCACUCGCGCGCAUAGAGCCUUUGAAGUCGUCCUAAACACCCAAAGCCAUCCACAUUCAUUUUCCUUUGAAUCAAACUUGAACUCCAUGAUCAAGUGCAACCAUGAAAGAAGGCAACCAAGACAUUACACAUGACCAGACAAAGAUUUUGGAGAAGAAGAAACUGAACUUAGGACAUUUUGUGGAAGACAAAGGAUCUCUGUUCAAAGAAGCUCCGUUCGAAAAAAUCAUCAUACAUUCCGGUGAAAAAUUGAAGCUCCGAUCAUCCAAUCCGACGUAAUUUAUACAUCUUCUUUAUGCACCGUGUUAUUGCAUCUUUCCAAAAUCGUAUUUGAGUUUCAAUUUUUAAUUUCUCCCCAAAAGGAAAGUUGACCUUACCUCAAAACUCUGCUAUAUAUACUAUGUUUGAAAUAUCAAAUAGGAAAUCCCUCUCUGAAAUUUGAAAUCCGGUGAAGAAACUCUCCCCAAAACUCUGUUAUUUAUGUUUUUUGUGUAAAAAACUCUCUUGGUGAAGGUCGAAGAGGCAUAGCAAACAAAAGGAGAUCUAGUCAGAAAAAUCACCAUAUAUUCCGGCGAUAAGCUAAAAUUUCCGAAAAGGAGAGAUUCCCCCAAAAUAUUUCCGACAGUAAGCUCUGAUCAUUAUAUAAUAGGUUGUUAUUUUGAAUUUCUUAUCUUAUAUGGCGGCAAUCCAAUGGUGAUUAUUGGUAAUCAAAAAAUUUGAAGGUUGGGUUCAUCACCUACUUUUUGUUACAGCAUACAAAUCAAUUUAUUAUGCUCACAACUUAUUUAAACAUGUAUCAUGUAUGAAUUGCAUAUUGCAUCAAUAUAUUUUCCUAAUACGUCAAAAAAAUUAACUUCCAUAACUCAAUUUCACAAUUCCUAAAUUAAUAAUAAGAAUCACAAAUACUUUCAAUAUAUAUGUAGGAAGAUUUGUAAAUUCCAUACUUUUUGUAACAAUAUAUAAUACAAAAUUUUGAGAGAUCAACUUAUUAUUAUCACAACUUUUUUUUAACAUGUAUUGUGUAUGAAUUGUAUAUACAUCAACAUAUUUUUCUAAUACGUUAAAAAAAAUUAACUUCCACAUCAAAUUAUUAUUAUCAAUACUUUUUUAGACAUAUAUCAUGUAUGAAUUGCAUAUAACAUCAACAUAUUUUCCUAACAUGUUAAAAAAAAAAAAAAAAAAAAAAAUAA